GGGACCGCCACGGGCGGUGGGCAGAGCCGAGCCCCGUGGGGCUGCGGCCGUACCUCCCUCCCGCUCGCCCCUCAGCGCACCCUUGGCCUUCAGCCCCCUGGUGAGAGCAGAUAGUGGAGCAGCAGGUCCCUGUGGUGCCCCGAGGUGCCAUGGCCCCCACAGGCCGCAGGGCGUUGCAGGCCCACAGAUAGGCCCCCGCGGAGGCGGGCAUGGCGGCCGGCCGGCCUACUUCCGGCUUCUGCCCAGGGCAGUUGGUUGAGGGCUGCUCCUGAGUAUACUAAUGCCCCAGCACUUCUGGCCUGCCCUGAACACUAGCCAAGCAUGCUCUUGUGACUGGAGAAACUAAUCAGAUACCACUCAAGGAGACUUACUACUGAGGAGAGCUGACCACUGUUAGGUUUUGCUUCCUUGAAUCUCCUCUCCAUCCCCAUCUAGCAGGAAAGUCAACAGAAGUAACUGACAACUCACACAAAAAGAGGCUUCUUGCACCGAAGAACUCCAGCUCAGUCCUCCCUGGCAAAAUAACCUGGAGAUGUGGUUAGUAGGCUUUGUACCCCUGCAAGCUCAGAAGCCGGGGAUGACACAGAAUGUCAUCAAGUCAGAGUGCUAAAAUGAUGAGUGGGGAGCAAAGUUGUGGCUUCUAAGAACUGCAUGUACAUUUGAAAAUUCCAUUUGAGUGGCUUUUCUCCAAGAUAAUAGCUUAAAAGCUCUUCUUGAACCCGCUGAAGGAUGAGAACCUUACUUCAUUCUGAGAGAGCUGCUUCCAUUUUCAGAAAGUUCUACAGAGAAUUACAGUUAUUCAGUGCUGUACUGCUGUGAGGACACUUUGGGAAAAUGUCAAAGAGAAUGUCAGAGCUGAUUUUUCAUCAGACUUCAGUGCUGGGAUACAAAGAUGAGUAUCACUUGGCUCCCUAUCUUUGAGGGUUUUUCCAUUGGAUCUGACAGAUGAAACUGAAGCUGAAGAGCCUAGAUGACAAGCCCACAUCACAUAACAAUAGCAGAGAUCCAGCAGUAGGACUGAACUUGUGUCUCAAAAUUCAGAAUUAUUUCCAAAUUAUUUUGCUACCUUUGCUUAUAAUUAUUUUGGAAAUUAGGUAUUUAAUGACAUCACAUGUAACCUUACAAAGAAAACAUGGCUCUCAUUCAUCAGGAAAUGAUUUUGCGAUUUAAUUUGCUGAAACAGAAUAGCCAUAGAAAAGUAACUUAGUAACUUUAUCAUUCUUUUUUUAAGAUUUUAUAUAUUUAGGGGUGCCUGGGUGGUUCAGGUCAUGAUCUCAGGGUCUUGGGAUCAAGCCCCACAGGAGGCUCCCUGCUCAUGCUCUCUCUCUCUCUGUACCUCUCUAUCUCAAAUGAAUGAAUACAAAUCUUUAAAAAAGUGUUUAUAUAUUUAUUUGAGAGGGAGACAGAACAAGUGAGAAAGAGAAUAUCAAGGCGUGAGGAGGGUGAUGAGAAGACACAAGGGCAGAGGCAGAGGGAGAAGCAAGCUCCUGAUGAGUAGGGAGCGGGACUUUUAGGGCUUGACACUGGGACCCUGGGAUCAUGACCUGAGCUAAAGGCAGAUGCUUAACCAACUGAGCCACCCAGGAGCCCCAGCUUUAUCGUUCUUAAAUUUAAACCAACAUGUCAAUCUUUAUUAGGAAAUAGGUUAUUGUUUCCCAGAAGAAAUAGAAUUUGUAGUACAGUCAGCACUCCUCUGGCUUGUAAGUAGAGAGGUUUGUACUUUCUUUGGUACCUCUUUUACUCUUCCACAGCACUGCUACCAUUUCCACAUUACCAUCCCCCCCGCCCCCCAAGAUUACCCACCUUGAAAGCACAAAAACCAAGCAGUUGUCUUGGUAGCUGCUGCUGUUGUUUUUUCUUAAUUAUUUCCUUUCAUUUUCUUGUUUAUAUUGUAGCCUUUAUAUUGAACCGCUCAAUACUUCUCAGUGCUUCAUGCUCUGCGUACCUGGGCACCUACAACAUCACUUAAGCUUCUGGGUUAGGACUCCAUGGACAGAGAAGGAACAUCCAGCUAAUAGUCCCCAGUGAGGAUGAAGAACUGCCAAGAUCAGCCCGCACACCUCAGCCCACUGCAUCUUCUAUGGGUUUAGAGUCAUCAAGGAGGCCUCAAAACACAAAGGUUGGAACAAUGCUUUACUCACAGAAAGAAAAGACGCAGCACAAUCAGCAUAUGUAGUGUGCAUCAGUCUCCUGUGGACAGUGGGUCCCUCCUGAUAGCCAGCAUGAGAUCAUGGAAAAUGAUGCACAGGAAAUCUUAAAGCUCCACAGUGACUUAUGAGAAUAAGAAAUCAAAUAUAAUGAAGAUUUCAGAUGUCUUUCUAGCCGGUUAAUAAUGAAGUUAAGGAAAAUGUCAUAUUAACUAUGUGGUAUGAUGGAAUCAAACUAAAUCAAGAAUGUUACAGGUUCCAAAGCCAUGUGUUUAGAUUUUAUGGCUUUUUUUUAGUUGGUUUUCUAAUGUUAAAUUUAAAAUAGCUAAUCUAUUGGUCAUUCUUCUCUUCUUGACUCACUUUUAUGUUUGGGGAGUCAUCUAGCUCUUUUUAUGUUAUUAUUCAUUCCAGAUAGCAUUUUAGUUGUUUUGUGGGGCUAGUGGUAGGGUAGUAUAUUGGGUCACUUGAUUGGUUGGUUGCUGGGUCAGUUGGUUGGGAUUUGAUGUAUGCCGUGGUAGCUUUGGUUUUUAUAUGCAGCUUUUGGUGGAUUGGUUGGUUGGUUGGUUGGUUGGUUGGUUGGGGGCUAUAAAAUGUGGAUUGAAACAUCUUUGUUGGGGAUCCCUGGGUGGCGCAGUGGUUUAGCCCCUGCCUUUGGCCCAGGGCACGAUCCUGGAGACCUAGGAUCGAAUCCCACGUCGGGCUCCCGGUGCAUGGAGCCUGCUUC